UACGAAGGGUGCAAGCGUUGCUCGGCAUUAUUGGGCGUAAAGGGUCGGUAGGUGGUCUCAUUUGUCUGGGGUGAAAGCCUUGAGCUUAACUCAAGAAGUGCCCCGGAAACGGUGAGACUGGAGUCCUGGAGAGGGUCGUGGAAUUCCCGGUGUAGCGGUGAAAUGCGUAGAGAUCGGGAGGAACACCAGAGGCGAAGGCGGCGACCUGGACAGGCACUGACACUCAACUACGAAAGCGUGGGGAGCAAACAGG
rnacentral:rRNA from 1 species